CCCAGCGGUAAGUCAGCUGCGCGGGCCUGCUCAGUGCCUGGGUCAGUGUUACACUGCUGGGAGAGGAAGGUGCUUCACUGUGGCUGGGCUCUGGGAGACACUGUUUUAGUGGCUGCUGAUGCUAGGCUGUGAUGGUGCCUUACCCCUCUGAGAGUGGACUGUGCCCCCAUACAUUGGGUGCAGUCCUAGUCUGAGGGAUGAACAGU